AAUGGACGAAAGUCUGACGGAGCAACGCCGCGUGUACGACGAAGGCCUUCGGGUUGUAAAGUACUGUCUUCAGGGAAGAAUGGCAUUUAUGUAAAUAAUGUAGAUGCAUGACGGUACCUGAGGAGGAAGCCCCGGCUAACUACGUGCCAGCAGCCGCGGUAAUACGUAGGGGGCAAGCGUUGUCCGGAAUCAUUGGGCGUAAAGGGCGCGUAGGCGGAUUUUUAAGUCUGGUGUGAAAACCUAGGGCUCAACCCUGGGACUGCAUCGGAAACUGGAGAUCUUGAGGACAGGAGAGGAAAGUGGAAUUCCACGUGUAGCGGUGAAAUGCGUAGAUAUGUGGAGGAACACCAGUGGCGAAGGCGACUUUCUGGACUGUAACUGACGCUGAGGCGCGAAAGCGUGGGGAGCAAA
rnacentral:rRNA from 1 species